GAAACCGUUCAGGGGUAAACCCGAGAAACCCAAAAGAUCGAAUGGGGAGAUUCAUCGUCAGCGGCGUUGGUCUCGCGGCGGUGAGGUGAUGCUCCGCUAACGGACCUCGGUCCGAAACGCGAGAGCACUCCAUCGCCGCGUUCACGUCCGACGUCGUAGUCGUGCACUUCUCCCCUAGUAGAACGUCGCGACCCGUUGGGUGUCGGUCUACGGCCCGGGUGGUGGCCUGCCGCGUCGUUUCAAAGCGUUCGCGGCAAACCCCCGGUGUCUCCCGGCCGGCUGCCCGGCGGUACUCGCACGGUAUCGGGCCGCAAUCUCGGAAUUGCGUCCAGGCCCGCCGCAGGCGCGGUCAGUGCAACCCGGAUCGUACGGACUAUGCGCCGUCGCCGGGCCUGACCCGCUGUUCGCGGAGCGGUGUCCUCGGACUGGCCAAACUUCGAAUUACCGGUCGGCGACGCUACUGCUUUGGGUACUCUCGGGACCCGUCUUGAAACACGGACCAAGGAGUCUAACAUGUGCGCGAGUCAUUGGGACUAAGCAAAACCUAAAGGCGUAAUGAAAGUGAAGGUCGACCCCGGUGUCGACCGAGGGAGGAUGGGCCGCGUUACGAUUCGGCCUCGCACUCCCGGGGCGUCUCGUUCUCAUUGCGAGAUGAGGCGCACCCAGAGCGUACACGUUGGGACCCGAAAGAUGGUGAACUAUGCCUGGUCAGGACGAAGUCAGGGGAAACCCUGAUGGAGGUCCGUAGCGAUUCUGACGUGCAAAUCGAUCGUCGGAACUGGGUAUAGGGGCGAAAGACUAAUCGAACCAUCUAGUAGCUGGUUCCCUCCGAAGUUUCCCUCAGGAUAGCUGGCACUCGUGCGUUCCGUGAGAACGAAAGAUGAGUCUCAUCUGGUAAAGCGAAUGAUUAGAGGCCUUGGGGCCGAAACGACCUCAACCUAUUCUCAAACUUUAAAUGGGUGAGAUCUCUGGCUUGCUUGAACUAUGAAGCCACGAGAUUUCGGAUCAGAGUGCCAAGUGGGCCAAUUUUGGUAAGCAGAACUGGCGCUGUGGGAUGAACCAAACGCAGAGUUAAGGCGCCUAAGUCGACGCUUAUGGGAUACCAUGAAAGGCGUUGGUUGCUUAAGACAGCAGGACGGUGGCCAUGGAAGUCGGAA
rnacentral:rRNA from 1 species